GCUACCUGUGACUGCCAAAGGGUCCUUAGUUGCCCAGCUGAUCAUAUCAAACAUGUGAUACAACUUCAAGGGUCAUGUCUCCUUAUUAUGAUCUUCAUCUCCUUCGUUGAUCUCGCUGCUGUGAUUAUAGCUUGCCAUCAUCGCAACUUCAUGUGGGAAUUGCAGUUAUACACACCUAAAUGGAAACCAUGGAUGAUUUCUUG
rnacentral:misc_RNA from 1 species